GACGAACGCUGGCGGCGUGCUUAACACAUGCAAGUCGAACGAGAAUCUGUGGAAAGAGGAUUCGUCCAAUUGAAGCAGAGGACAGUGGCGGACGGGUGAGUAACGCGUGAGGAACCUGCCUUUCAGAGGGGGACAACAGUUGGAAACGACUGCUAAUACCGCAUAACAUAUAGAUGUCGCAUGGCAUUUAUAUCAAAGAUUUAUCGCUGAAAGAUGGCCUCGCGUCUGAUUAGCUAGUUGGUGAGGUAACGGCCCGCCAAGGCGACGAUCAGUAGCCGGACUGAGAGGUUGAACGGCCACAUUGGGACUGAGAUACGGCCCAGACUCCUACGGGAGGCAGCAGUGGGGAAUAUUGCACAAUGGGCGCAAGCCUGAUGCAGCGACGCCGCGUGAAGGAUGAAGUAUUUCGGUAUGUAAACUUCUAUCAGCAGGGAAGAAAAUGACGGUACCUGACUAAGAAGCCCCGGCUAACUACGU
rnacentral:rRNA from 1 species